rnacentral:tRNA from 1 species
UCCCAUGGUGUAAGGGGCAGCACUCAGGACUUGAAAUCUUGCCAUCUGAGUUCAAAUCCCAGAGUGGGAU